rnacentral:rRNA from 1 species
UACGUAGGGUGCAAGCGUUGUCCGGAAUUAUUGGGCGUAAAGAGCUCGUAGGCGGUUUGUCGCGUCUGCUGUGAAAACCCGAGGCUCAACCUCGGGCCUGCAGUGGGUACGGGCAGACUAGAGUGCAGAAGGGGCAAUCGGAAUUCUUGGUGUAGCGGUGAAAUGCGUAGAUAUCAAGAGGAACACCUGAGGUGAAGACGGGUUGCUGGGCUGACACUGACGCUGGAGGCGCGAAAGCUAGGGGAGCAAACGGG